CCUACGGGAGGCUGCAGUCGAGAAUCAUUCACAAUGGGGGAAACCCUGAUGGUGCGACGCCGCGUGGGGGAUGAAGGUCUUCGGAUUGUAAACCACUGUCAUGGAGGAGCAAAUUAAAAAGAUAGUACCACAAGAGGAAGAGACGGCUAACUCUGAGCCAGCAGCCGCGGUAAUACAUAGGUCUCAAGCGUUGUGCGGAAUCACUGGGCGUAAAGCGUGCGUAGGCGGUUUCGUAAGUGGUAUGUGAAAGGCGCGGGCUCAACCCGCGGAAGGCACAUGUUACUGCGAGACUAGAGUAAUGGAGAGGGAAGUGGAAUUCUAGGUGUAGCAGUGAAAUGCGUAGAUAUCGAGAGGAACACUCGUGGCGAAGGCGGGUUCCUGGACAGUAACUGACGCUGAGGCACGAAGGCCAGGGGAGCGAAAGGGAUUAGAUACCCUUGUAGUC
rnacentral:rRNA from 1 species